rnacentral:tRNA from 1 species
CGAUCUGUAGCUCAAUAAGUUAGAGCACCCGGUUCUUACCCGGGGGGUUGCGGGUGCAAGUCCCUCCAGAUCGA